rnacentral:siRNA from 1 species
UGGGAUCGCCUAGCCGUU